GCCGAUGUAGCUCAGCUGGUAGAGCAAUUCCUUCGUAAGGAAGUGGUCGGAGGUUCGAAUCCUCUCAUCGGCU
rnacentral:tRNA from 1 species